CUGUUGAAGCGGGGGAAAGGAGGAGUCUUUUUGGGGGAGAUCGAGUCGAGAGAGGAGAGAAAGAGAGAGAGAGAGAGAGAGAGGAAGGAGGAGAGAAGUCGAGCGAUGGCAAAGCCACUGGGGCCGACGGGGGAGUUCUUCCGGCGGAGGGACGAGUGGAGGAAGCACCCGAUGGUCGGCAACCAGGUGCGUCACGCCCUCCCGGGCCUCGGCACCGCCCUCGUGGCCUUCGGCAUCUACCUCGUCGGCGAGGCCAUCUACAACCGCGUCCACCGACCCGAUCCCCACUCCUCCAACCACUGAAUCAAAAACCCUGGGUUUGAUCUCUUCUCCCACGUGGAGGUUUGGGUGAAGAAAUGCAAUCCGGGACCUCUAGCCUUUAUCACUUCGUCAUCUUCUUAUUAUAGUUUGAAGGGACAUGAUCCUUGUCGGAGGAUUCCAUGUGAACCAGCUUUCAUAAUUCCAACCAGAGACUCAUAUUACUGGUUUACUUCAACUUUUGUGUGUUCAAAUCUAUGAAACCUAAUGUGUCCGCCGCCUUUUAUUCCUUCGUACACCGCUGCUAGGCUGCGAACAAUUGCCAUUUUAUGUAUGGUUGUGGUUGCAGAGGCUGAAUACAUAAUAUUGUGCACAAAUAAAGCUUAUGCAUUAUACCAUUUCAUGGGAA